AGGAUAGGUGGGUUUCAUUGA
rnacentral:miRNA from 7 species